GCCUCUGUAGCUCAGUUGGUUAGAGCGCUUACCGGAAUCGCAGGGCCGUAGGUUCAAUUCCUACCAGAGGAC